GUCGAUGCGCUCACAGGCAGCCCGCUCCCACAAUCCAUCGCCACCCACCCAUGACUCCCUCACCCUGGCUAGGGUUCCUAGCCCCUCGUCCUCAGCCGCCGCUGCAUGUUCCUCGCUGGCCUCGCCCGGGCGCCUCCCGGACCUCGCCGGGAGAAGCCAGCCAGCGCCGUUCCGACCUCCUCCUUAAGCCCUCGCCCCCAUCCUCCUACUCAAGACGUCACCGUCGCCUCCCUCGCCCGCGGCCAUGAUGACCGAUCUGGCGGUGGCGCCGCAGAUCACCCUCUGGUCCAUGGCCUCGACGGCGACGACGUAUCCCGCGCCCGCGUUCUUCCUCCCCCAUCUCAUCUCCUCUCCGGUCGCUGCAGAGGAGCCCCGUUUCGCGCCGCCACCAUGGUUGCCUGCAGCGAGCAGCAGAGGACCUAGCCGCCGCGUCCGAUCGCAACCGCCGCCUGAAACCCUAGCCCCUCCUUCCAACUGCAGGUCAAGCCAGCAGGAUCCCCUCCAAGAAGAGCAUUUGAUGCGCCCGACUCGUCUCUGCUUGUUCACAACAAGGAAGGCCAUGGACCGCGGACCUGCUCGACCUGCUCGACCUCCUCCUCACGCCGCCUCGGCCUCCCAGCCCUUGUCGCCGUUGGUCGCCCUCCACGGGUUCUGACGUGCCGUCGCCAACCGCUAGAGAUGCCACCUCCUCAACGCACGAUAUAACCACAUUUACGUGCAAUAUGCAACAGCUGUUUUCUCUGCUUCAGUAUUUUUGUGUCUCUGGCAAAGUUAAUCAUCGUAUUCAUGUCAUUUAUUUAGGAGGGAUCCCAAUUACUGACUGCAUCAGGCGACCAAUCUGUAAAGAUAUGGAGCGUGGAGAAUAAGAAAUGCCUUGGUGUGCUGUCAGGGCACACUAGAAGUGUGAAGUCACUGACAUGCCAUUCUUCAAAUCCUGGUUAUUGUUUACGCAGAUCUUAUUAUUUCUGGUUCAAGAGACGGUUCUUUUGCACUUUGGGAUCUAAGAUGUGACCCCCAAACCCCAAAUGGUCAUGGUGAAGCAUGACUCAUGUAUGUUAUCUAAUGGCUACUGCAAUCUAAAUGCUCCUUUUAAUUGCAGUCAUCAAAUAUUCGUAGCAAUAUAGCAUAUUUAACUGAAUUCGUAGCAAUAUAGCAUCUUUACAUGUUAGAUCUUCUGCUUUUGUCAAAGAAGCGCACAGUCCCACUCGAAGGAAUCGGAUAAGGUCUUGAGCAAAGGGAGCUUCGACGAGCAUCACAUCAGUUCUGUAUCUGAAAGAUGACCUCCAUUGCGCCUUCUGGAGUGCGAGCUAUUGGUGUUCGUCGUGUUAGGAAGAUGGGUGUAUAACUCGUGGAUCUUGGGGACAAGCGGAUGGAUCUUGGGUCUUGGGGACAAGCAGAUGGUGUUCGUCGUGUUAGGAAGAUGGGUGUAUAACUCAUGGAGUGCGAGCUGUUGCGUGGCGACGCUCGACUGCAUUCGUUGAUCUGACUGUCUGUCAUCGUGCAGAUGUCGAAUUGUUGAUGGAGGCUUCAGGUCGUCCUUCUCAAGGAGAUGAGGCUGGCCAUUAAGGAUCUGGGGUGAAGGUCAUGUCAUCUCUUCUCGUGGCUCUACUGCCCACUGCUUCCACUGCUGAUAUUUUGAGCUCUUUGAUCAGAGCAAGCACCAUGGGAAGGAAAGAUGUUGGGGGCGUGAACUGUCCCGACAACGACACUGUUGCCUGCUGACUAUGUGCAGGACUACCUAGCUCGACCUCUAUCUCAAUGUCAGAAAAUUAGGAACCAGAAGGGAAAAUGGAAGGCGCCUUUGAUGGACAUUCAGCCCGGAGUACAAGGAUGAUCCCUACAUCUAUACUUUUGAUAUGCUGAAGCACAUUGGCAUUAGGCCAAGGCAGAUGUAGGGCAGCGGUGGCGGGUGCAUAUGUAGGGAAGCAGCAGCAGUGCGGUGGUGGCGGGUACAGGCGCAGCGCGACGACCUGUGGGCGCACCGGCUCUAGGAUGACCAGGGGCUUGGUAGCUGGGUCCGAUAUCCCUGUGGUGGACAGAGAUGAUGGCGUAUGGAAGUGGCCGGUGGUGGGAAGGGAACAAUGUGGCCCCGUCGUCGUCCUCUUCGUUCAGCUUGACAUGACCGUCGUUCAGCUGAAGACAAUAUUACAUGGGGACGAUUAAAACUGGGGCAUGAAUGCACAAUACAUAUGUGAUGUGAUUUUUCUAAAUGGAAUUAAUUUUGUAUAGCUUGCAUCCCUUUCUUCUGUUAGUAGUUUGUAAAUAACAUGAAUCCAGUUUUAUACAUAAGCAAGUGGUAGCCAAGUGGUCUGGUUAUACAUCUGUGAAGAACCUGCUUGAAUGCAUAUGGCCUGGAUGCCUAGGUGUACUUCACCCUAACUUCACCCCAAAUCUGGAGAACUCACGUACCCAAAUUUCCAUCAUGCCAUGAAUGUUAGAUGCCUAUAAUGCUUUGGGAGCUGGGUGGAGAUGUGUUUCAUGAUUUGUUUUUUUCUUUUCUGUAAGGCAGAUCUUGUAAGUUAUUCUGUCUUUCAACCUGUGCGUAGCAUUUUGAUGUAAGUGGUCUGGUUCUCUCAAUCUAUGUGUAGCGCGUUGUGUUUGUACUUCAAGCUGGCAGAGUACAGAUCAUUUUCAUGGUCCAAAUUACUAGCAUCAAUCGAAUCAUGGUUAGUCAUUCCAGUUUUUAGCAUCUCGGUGCCUAAUUACACUCUAAUAUUAUUUACUUUAUCAUAUAUGAUGAUUAAUAUUUCCUUAAUUUUUUUGUAGGACACAAGAUGGACAAGUACACGCCCAGAUUUUUGGGAUUAAUAACACCGGACACCAGACUCUAAACAUGGGUCAAGCUGGAGCGACUCAAGAUGCAGCUUGACUUCUGGUACACUAUAUGAGUGAUUCAAGACGCCCUCGAUGCCACGGACACUGAAUGUUGUGACGUCAAUUUGGAAGCCACGGGAUGGAUCCCUUUCAGAGCGAUCUAGACGCCCUCGAUGCCUCGACAACUUCACGGGCGUCUGAAGUGUAAACUGACAUCAUACUUAUAACUGAUAGGAGGAGACAGGUAAGAUCAGUCACCAGUGAUGGAGUCAUGAGGUUGUUGACGUCGUGCUAAAUGUUGGUGUAGGGCCAAAGGAGAAGAUAUGGUGCAAAAUUCUUGAGCUUGACAUUAUGGUACAAUAUAAAUUUGAGUAUUCUUGCCUAUCAUAGCAGUCUAUAGCCUAUAUCACAUUGCAAAAUUCCAUGAACAAUUGGUCCACAUUAUUUGUUUGUUCUAUUGUUCAUGCCCAAGCAUGGAUGCAGGUGGAUGUGGGCGCCAGGGCCGCCACCAAGGAUGUAGGGGUCGCGCCACAACGGGCGAGGAUGCAUUGGGCAUGCCGAAACUGACGAGGACACGUGAGCCGCACUCCAGCCUUAGUGUUUUUCCUAAUUUCUUUAGGUACGCGAGGUUGAUUUAAUAUUCACAUGUAUGCUGAAAUUAUGACACCAAAGAACCAGCAAUGGAGUUAUAUGAAAUUUCUCCCGAGAGCUAUACUAUCAUUCUUUUUAGUAUUGACUAAUUCCCAUGAGUUGCCCCAAAAUUGUAAAUAUGAAUUUGGAUGAUUCAUUGGUCCUCAUUAAAAUAGCAGCAUGAAAUAACCCUCCA